CGCAGGUUUGCGGCACGUGCCGCGCGUGUGUGCCCCGCUUUCAGCAAAGGGGCACCACCUCCGCCCCUUCCCCGCGCAGGCGCACACCCCAUCCCGUCUCACGUGAGCCUCAACCGGCCGAGCGCCCCUCCCUGCUCUUCCUGUCCCCUCAGCACCAGUCAGCCCUCUCCUUCCUCCUUUGUCAGGCUACUUCACCCCAUCAACCACGCUGUCCUCAAGGCCCUACCUUGGCGCCCUGUGGCUUGCUCUCCAGGUUCCUCGCCAGUGGACGCUACUGGACGACCCCACAAUCCUCCACAACUCGCGGGCUCCCCUCUUUUAUAUGUCAAGGUCAUCUUCAGGAUGUUUAAGGAGAGAGUCUGUCGAGGUUAAACAGACAACUUCCAGAGUGAUUCACGGAGGUGACCGCUUCUUAGCACGACACUGCCGACAACCCUAGAGAAGAGUUUCCUGCUUGCCAGAUCCAAUCAUUGUUGGUCAGCCUAGGCAGCCUGAACGGAGGAAUAAUUCCUGCUUGCUCAGCAGCCUAAAUUAGAUGCUUUCAGAGAAGAUCUGUGCUUGCUCCUGUUUGGAAUCAGAGGAUGCUACUGACCACCCACUAUGAAGUCCCCCUCUACAUAGCAGUCUCAACCCUGAAGUGUGUCCAGAACUUCAUCACCGAUCCCAGUGCUGGCAACGUAAUUUGCUUCCAGGAUUUGCAUUUUCUUACUGCUCACUCUUUCAGCCACUCUUUCAUUUUUCCCUUUGUUUUCUUGUUUUCUUGUUGUUGUUGUUGUUGUUGAAAGAGUUACAUCACUUUUGUUUUAGUUAUUGGAUUAAAGGUGUAUUUAUUUUAAUUUUUACCAACUCUCAGUUUUACAUUACCAGGAACACUUUUCAGAGUACAUAAUCAUCCAUGUUGCAGAAUUAGAAUCAUCUUACUUGUGUAUUAAAAAAUUACUUGGUCAUAUAAUUUCCUUGAGAUGAUGUGGAAUCAUUUAAUCUGAGUAUUCUACUUGUGAUAAGCCC
ensembl:lncRNA